rnacentral:lncRNA from 1 species
CUCUCAACAACUCUGCAUAAAUCUGGCUUCAUCCAUUUGGGAUGUAAUCCUCUACUAAAUUGAAACGAAAUAAUCAAAUUUCCAGGUGCACAAUUAUGCUAAAACAGUUCCAGUUUCUCAACAGAAAGAAUAAAAAGAAUGUCCAGUUAUAUCAACAACAAACAACAUCAGUAAACAAACAAGUUGAAUGACAAAACCUUACAUCUUACUCCAUCUUUAACCACUUGAUCUAAAAAGCAUCUCAUUCCACCUGUAUAUCUACCUCAGAAUUCUGUACACAAUUUUGUAAAGUAUAUUUAUACACAUUCAUAAUGUUUUGUAACAACGGGUU